rnacentral:rRNA from 1 species
UACGUAGGGGGCAAGCGUUGUCCGGAAUCAUUGGGCGUAAAGAGCUCGUAGGUGGUUUGUCGCGUUGUUCGUGAAAACUCACAGCUUAACUGUGGGCGCGCGGGCGAUACGGGCAGACUGGAGUACUGCAGGGGAGACUGGAAUUCCUGGUGUAGCGGUGGAAUGCGCAGAUAUCAGGAGGAACACCGGUGGCGAAGGCGGGUCUCUGGGCAGUAACUGACGCUGAGGAGCGAAAGCGUGGGGAGCGAACAGG